GCUUGUCUCAAAGAUUAAGCCAUGCAUGUCUAAGUAUAACUCUUUUACUUUGAAAACUGCGAACGGCUCAUUAUAUCAGUUAUAGUUUCUUUGAUAGUCCCUUACUACUUGGAUACCCGUAGUAAUUCUAGAGCUAAUACAUGCAUCAAUACCCAACUGUUCGCGGAAGGGUAGUAUUUAUUAGGUAUAGACCAACCCUCUUCGGAGGUGCUUUGGUGAUUCAUAAUAACUUUUCGAAUCGCAUGGCUCCAUGCCGGCGAUGGAUCAUUCAAGUUUCUGCCCUAUCAACUGUCGACUGUGAUAUAGACGCUCACAGUGGUUUUGACGGGUAACGGGGAAUCAGGGUUCGAUUCCGGAGAGGGAGCCUUAAAAACGGCUACCACAUCCAAGGAAGGCAGCAGG
rnacentral:rRNA from 1 species